AUGAUCACAGUCCAGGUAACUUGUCUUGAUAUUGCCACUUGUCUUAGUGUCUGUUUACAUGGAGGUUUUUCCAACAGCCAGAGAAAUCAGAGCCAAGGCAACGUUAGGCCAUUUAGGCCAUUUGUUUGGACUCCAAAUCCACAAUGUAGAGAUGGUUCAGGAACCUGAUGCUGGCAAUGUGAGAGGCAGACAUGCAAGAAUACAGAAACAAGUGCUACAAAGAUUUGGGGACCAUCACACUGUGGGAAUGUUCGCAUUUGCCCUUGAUCACCAGACUCAGUAGGAAAAAUGAACCUCCUGGGCCCUAAGUGAACCCCACCUAACUGUUUGCAGUUUAUCACAUCUGGAAGGCAGAGGCCAAGUGGGAACUAUGGAAAGGAGACACUGUGUUCAAAGAUAAAAGUACUUUGCUGUCCAGGCAGAUUCUAAGUCAAUCCAUCUGGCACAAGUGAUCUCAAAACCAAAAUGGCUUUGGCCCCAUUAUCUGACGGUGAAUAUGGCUGUGGCAGAACCACCUGCGGGCCUCUGAUGCCGUUGCCUCUGCUGAAGCCCUUUUCAGACAGCCUGGUGCCUUGCUCGCUAGUAUCCACACAGCAGAUUUAUUAAGGAGCAUCUUCAUGCCUCCUGGGUGACUGGAUGGCUCUCUGGCGGUCUCUGGUGGUGAAUAUUAUAUAUGCGUCUAGAGGGAACAGCUGAAUACUUGACUGCAUUAGAGCAAACACAAAAACAAACAUUUGAACAAAUAUGCUAAAAUUCUCUGGUAUGAACCUAAGUCCGAUAGUAACUUCUAGUUGUUAACUCAGAAAGAUCAUGGUAUCAUUUAUGUAUGACAUAGAGUAGCAUCUUAGAAUGAGUUAUCCAUAUAAUAUUUAAUCUCUCUCUCCCUCCCUCCUCCCCUCACACCCUCCCUCUUCCACCAACAAAAACUCAAUUUCUCCAGUAGUUCUUCUAACAGGCAAUUCUCAAGAUAUGUCUGUGGGUGUAUAUAAUUUACUGUUAAUUUUUUGAUAACCAGCUCUCUGUAGAUCUGAACAUUAAACAUCCUAAUUAUUACAGUUUCAAAUGUCUAUUUUAGCAAUUUGCUAUUGUACCAGUUAGUGAAUUGGACAUAAUGAGUUAUUAUACCAAAGAGAACUGCUAUGUGUACCUCAACACAUACAUAUCUGGGCUGCAUGUUACUAAGUACAUGCAGGGUUCUUUUUAAUUCUUGCUAUAGUGUGUCUAAUCAGUGACAUAAACAUCAUCCAUUAGUCAGUUCAGCCUUCCCUGAAGUAUUAGUAUGCUAAACAAUCCUAUUACCAAAGCAUUAUUUUGAUACUUUAUUAAAAGUCCUACAGCUCUAGCAUUGCUAUACUCAAACAUAGCUUUAUGCAAUUAGGAUUAUAAUGGAAGCU